rnacentral:rRNA from 1 species
GACGAACGCUGGCGGCGUGCUUAACACAUGCAAGUCGAGGCGGUAAGGCCCUUUCGGGGGUACACGAGCGGCGAACGGGUGAGUAACACGUGGGUGACCUGCCCUCAGCUCUGGGAUAAGCCUGGGAAACCGGGUCUAAUACUGGAUAUGACUCCAUGACGCAUGUUGUGGGGUGGAAAGCCUUGUGCGGCUGAGGAUGGGCCCGCGGCCUAUCAGCUUGUUGGUGGGGUGANGGCCUACCAAGGCGACGACGGGUAGCCGGCCUGAGAGGGCGACCGGCCACACUGGGACUGAGACACGGCCCAGACUCCUACGGGAGGCAGCAGUGGGGAAUCUUGCGCAAUGGGCGAAAGCCUGACGCAGCGACGCCGCGUGAGGGAUGACGGCCU